AUGCAUCACAUCACUACGACAACAUGGCCGACGAGGGCUUCGGUGAGAGAUUGGUGGAACGUCAACCUUCAGAUUCUCCUAGGGUCUCCCAGGGUGCUUGCCCCUUUGAUGAUGCUCAUUUCUUGGGAGAUUUGGUCGGAGCGUAAUGCUAGAGUCUUCCGAAAGACGGAUGUCCCUUCCAUGGUUAUUAUCAACAUGAUUAAAGAGGAGGUGUCUCUUUGGGCUUUGGCGGGCACAAAGCAUUUGAGUAUUGUAAUGCCGUUUUAUUUUGCCCUUUUUUAG
rnacentral:rRNA from 1 species